UUUCCGUAGGUGAACCUGCGGAAGGAUCAUUACAGAGUUCAUGCCCUCACGGGUAGAUCUCCCACCCUUGAAUAUUUAUACCUUAGUUGCUUUGGCAGGACUUGGAAACAUUAUGGGCUCCGGCUUAUGCGUGCCUGCCAGAGGAAACAAACUCUGUUUUUAGUGAUGUAUGAGUACUAUAUAAUAGUUAAAACUUUCAACAACGGAUCUCUUGGUUCUG
rnacentral:misc_RNA from 1 species